CUUCUUCGGCGAAAGUGGCGAAAGGGCGAGUAAUGCAAUCGAACGUACCCCAAGGUGGAGGAUAGCCUGUGGAAACGCCGAGUAAUACCCCAUGUGCUCUACGGAGGAAAGCUUCGGCGCCUCGGGAGCGGCGAUCGUCCUAUCAGCUUGUUGGUGAGGUAAAAGCUCACCAAGGCUAAGACGGGUAGCGGGUGUGAGAGCAUGACCCGCCGCAUCGGGACUGAGACACUGCCCGGACUCCUACGGGAGGCUGCAGCGACGAAUAUUCCGCAAUGGGCGAAAGCCUGACGGAGCAAUGCCGCGUGUAGGAUGAAGCGCCUUCGGUGUGUAAACUACUGUCAGGGACUAGAACCAACGAUCAGUCCCAGAGGAAGGACCGGCUAAUUCCGUGCCAGCAGCCGCGGUAAUACGGAAGGUCCAAGCGUUAUUCGGAAUCACUGGGCUUAAAGAGUGCGCAGGCUGACUAGCAAGUGUUCUGUGAAAUCCCACGGCUCAACCGUGGAACUGCAGGGCAAACUGCUAGACUUGAGGUAGGUAGGGGAAGACGGAACUAUCGGUGGAGCGGUGAAAUGCAUAGAUAUCGAUGGGAACGCCAAUGGCGAAGGCAGUCUUCUGGGCCUUACCUUGACGCUGAUGCACGAAAGCGUGGGGAGCAAACAGGAUUAGAUACCCUGGUAGUCCACGCCGUAAACGAUGCACACUAGAUCGGGGCGGUUCUGACACCGUCCCGGUCGAAGGAAAACUGUUAAGUGUGCCGCCUGGGGAGUACGGUCGCAAGGCUAAAACUCAAAGGAAUUGACGGGGGCUCACACAAGCGGUGGAGCAUGUUGCUUAAUUCGAGGCAACGCGAAGAACCUUACCUGGGCUUGACAUGCACGGAUUAACUCCCCGAAAGGGGAGCCACGCCCUUUGGGUGGAACGUGCACAGGUGUUGCAUGGCUGUCGUCAGCUCGUGCUGUGAAGUGUCGGGUUAAGUCCCUUAACGAGCGCAACCCCUGUCGUUAGUUGCUAACGCGUAAUGUUGAGUACUCUAGCGAGACUGCCGGUGUCAAACCGGAGGAAGGUGGGGAUGACGUCAAGUCAGCGUGGCCCUUAUGUCCUGGGAUGCAAACGUGCUACAAUGGCGCGUACAGAGCGAUGCGAUGUCGCAAGGCGGAGCAAAUCGCAAAAAGCGCGCCCCAGUUCGGAUUGCAGGCUGAAAUUCGCCUGCAUGAAGUUGGAAUCGCUAGUAAUCGGGGAUCAGCUACGCCCCGGUGAAUGUGUCCCUGAGCCUUGUACACACCGCCCGUCACGUCAUGGAAGCUGGGAGUGCCCGAAGUC
rnacentral:rRNA from 1 species